GGGUGGGUCUAAUUGGAAAAGUCUCCACAGAUUAUUUUGAUAUAACCAAUCCCUUCUCCUCUAGGAAUCUUGGCUUUGUCUUAUUCUUAAAACAAAUAUAUUAUGGCUUAUUCAAAUAAAGCUGCCACUAAGACAGUUGUUUGUGAAACUCCUCUUCUAGAACAGCCCACCCCAAAUAAUUACUUCAAGCUAUUAACGGCAAUUCCAUUUCUCUUGCCAGUGGCUGUCUCAGAAAUGGACAGCUGACCCAGCUCUGGCAAAUGAGGUGUCAGGGGUAUCAGCCGAGAAGCUCUGUGGAAGGUUCCUCCCUGCUCAGGAAGAGACAUGGGGGUAGCCUCUCUGUUCUCUGCUGGUGUCUCACCAGAGAGGAUGCUUGGACCACUGUGGGCAGCUUGUCUAUGGUCAGAAGACAAAGCCAACACGUGGAAAAGGGCCCCCAGGCAAAAUCUUGAGUCCUCCUUUAAAUAUUUUCUUAUAUAAAACAAUAUAUUUCUUUAUUGGGUAAGCCAUUUUGAAUUUGGGUCCUAUCACUUACAGCCAAAAGCAUUCUAAUGAUUCCAGCUUGAAAACUUUUAGGAAUGAAAUAUUAACACAGGGAUUUGAAUGUGCAACUGCUUUACCUGGAUUAAGCAAUUCCAAAAGUGUUUUUCAACCUCUCAAACUUAACACACACUAUAGAGUUCCAAAGCCAAAUGAAGAAAGCAGCCAAGGUAGGGAGCAUCAGGUGCUUGCAGAGUGGAAUAUUCAUGCUCUCAGUCAUACGUUCGAAAAUGUUUGAAUAACACUGCCUGUCAAAUGUGUGGUUUCUUUUAGGUUGUUCUAAUUUCAACAGAAAGACAAAGAAGAGCAAAAGCUCCAGACAUCAACACUGAGUUCGCCUUCAGAAGACUUCUAAAUACUGAGUAUCUGUGGCUGAAAUUUAAGAGUUGGAGCUGUUAAGAACCAAAGAAAAAAGACAAAAUGACAGAAGACAGACAAGUCAUUUCUAUAAACAGAAAUUGAAAGUUAGUGCCAAGGAAGAAGCUACAUUUGUAAAACGGACGAAUUCAUUUCACAUCCUAUGUUGCUUCCAGAAGUUUUUCUCUGCUAUUUUUAAACUGUGAUUUGAUGUUUGUAAGGAAGGAACCUCAUCUCUGGUGGAUUUAGAAGAUAAGCUUCUAUUAGAUUACUGAGGACUGUACUUAAUCCUAAGAAUGCCAGAGUAAAUGCUUCUGCCACCUAUAAAAGCUAGUCUUUAUAUAAUUUAGUGGCAAGAAUGAUUUCACAUGCUGGGAUAUAAAGAGUUAGUUACUGUCUCAUACCCUCCUCGUCCCCAAAUUCUUGAUCUGAAUGUCGAAUUUUCACUAAUGUGGAAGCCAGAAAAAAAAAACCAAAAAAAAAAAAAAACAACCAAUCUUUGAAGCACAAUAAUACUGUGAAAACGUAUUUGCCACCAAAAUUAUUUCAUAUAAAUUUCCUGUAUUACAUCUCCCUUGCUCCACGAUUUUUCCCCUAAGUUUUUUUUCUGAACAUGGUGAAAUAAACUGGUGGACAGUUUUUUUUUUUUU